rnacentral:rRNA from 1 species
CACGUAGGGCGCGAGCGUUGUCCGGAAUUAUUGGGCGUAAAGAGCUCGUAGGCGGCCUGUUGCGUCCGCUGUGAAAGCCCGGGGCUUAACCCCGGGUCGCAGUGGAUACGGGCAGGCUAGAGGUAGGUAGGGGAGAAUGGAAUUCCCGGUGUAGCGGUGAAAUGCGCAGAUAUCAGGAGGAACACCGGUGGCGAAGGCGGGUCUCUGGGCCGAUACUGACGCUGAGGAGCGAAAGCGUGGGGGAGCGAACAGG